CUUUAGUUAGUAUACUUGUACAUUUACCUUCCAAGUAAAAAGUCUAUUUUGUAGCCUAAAGA
rnacentral:tRNA from 1 species